rnacentral:rRNA from 1 species
CGUGGGUAACCUGCCCAAGAGAUCGGGAUAACACCUGGAAACAGAUGCUAAUACCGGAUAACAACAGAUGAUGCCUAUCAACUGUUUAAAAGAUGGUUCUGCUAUCACUCUUGGAUGGACCUGCGGUGCAUUAGCUAGUUGGUAGGGUAACGGCCUACCAAGGCGAUGAUGCAUAGCCGAGUUGAGAGACUGAUCGGCCACAUUGGGACUGAGACACGGCCCAAACUCCUACGGGAGGCGCAGCG